GACGAACGCUGGCGGCGUGCUUAACACAUGCAAGUCGAACGGAAAGGCCCUGCUUUUGUGGGGUGCUCGAGUGGCGAACGGGUGAGUAACACGUGAGUAACCUGCCCUUGACUUUGGGAUAACUUCAGGAAACUGGGGCUAAUACCGGAUAGGAGCUCCUGCUGCAUGGUGGGGGUUGGAAAGUUUCGGCGGUUGGGGAUGGACUCGCGGCUUAUCAGCUUGUUGGUGGGGUAGUGGCUACCAAGGCUUUGACGGGUAGCCGGCCUGAGAGGGUGACCGGCCACAUUGGGACUGAGAUACGGCCCAGACUCCUACGGGAGGCAGCAGUGGGGAAUAUUGCACAAUGGGCGGAAGCCUGAUGCAGCAACGCCGCGUGCGGGAUGACGGCCUUCGGGUUGUAAACCGCUUUCGCCUGUGACAAAGCGUGAGUGACGGUAAUGGGUAAAGAAGCACCGGCUAACUACGUG
rnacentral:rRNA from 1 species